GGGACAUGUUGUAACUAUAUAUUGUGUCGCAGAAGUAUCACAUUCACAAAUACACAUACGUAUAAGAGAUAACUAACUCCCUGUCAGAGUAGCAAGUUUCUCAUCUAGCCCAAAAAUGCAGAGCUGGCAGCCAAAAGGAAAAAGGUACACCCCAAUUUAAGAGGCGAACCUAAAUUUGCUAUGCUACAUACAGUUACUACUGCUCCAUGUUAGAGCAUUAUCUUUUAUAAACUACAAAGUAUAGCAAUACAUCCACCCAAUCUGGAAUUAACAGAGUAGUGCACAUCCUUCCUUCACCUCAUAGGAGAGAGGCUAGUUAGCACUUUCUUGGUGAGUGGAUCCCAUUAUAAUUAAUCAUUAAUGAUGAACUCGAAAUCGACCUUCUUUCCUGGUUCGCAACUGCCUAUCUGAUUCUUCGCUUCCACCUGACCUUCCAGAACUCACUGCCCGAUCAUUCCGAGUAACAAUUUUUAUGGGGUGCGCUUCUGUAUUGAAAACCCACUCAUCAAGGGAGAUAACUGAUGAUGGAGAGAAAAGAAGAUACAGAUAUUUAAGAGUCUCCGCAAGAAAGAAGCUUUGCAUCAUAUUGUCUUUGACACCAGUGUUUACAUCUUUAAGUCCAACAUAUCCAGACUCUACCCUUGAGUUCUUUUCAAAUGCUUGAAAUAUGUUCCAACCCCACUCUUGGUAUGUC
rnacentral:misc_RNA from 1 species